GUUAUUAUGGUGUAAGGAACACGUUACAUUUUCGUUGUAAAGAUAAAGGCUUAUCUUUUAAUAAUG
rnacentral:tRNA from 1 species